CAUGGGUGCCACUGGUCACAAGGACACGGCGUUAACGUUGCCAGGGGUCAGGGGUUCGAUUCCCUCUGGGACCA